UGGGGAAUAUUGCGCAAUGGGGGGAACCCUGACGCAGCCAUGCCGCGUGAAUGAAGAAGGCCUUCGGGUUGUAAAGUUCUUUCGGUAUUGAGGAAGGUUGAUGUGUUAAUAGCACAUCAAAUUGACGUUAAAUACAGAAGAAGCACCGGCUAACUCCGUGCCAGCAGCCGCGGUAAUACGGAGGGUGCGAGCGUUAAUCGGAAUAACUGGGCGUAAAGGGCACGCAGGCGGUUAUUUAAGUGAGGUGUGAAAGCCCCGGGCUUAACCUGGGAAUUGCAUUUCAGACUGGGUAACUAGAGUACUUUAGGGAGGGGUAGAAUUCCACGUGUAGCGGUGAGAUGCGUAGAGAUGUGGAGGAAUACCGAAGGCGAAGGCAGCCCCUUGGGAAUGUACUGACGCUCAUGUGCGAAAGCGUGGGGAGCAAACAGGAUUAGAUACCCUGGUAGUCCACGCUGUAAACGCUGUCGAUUUGGGGGUUGGGGUUUAACUCUGGCGCCCGUAGCUAACGUGAUAAAUCGAUCGCCUGGGGAGUACGGCCGCAAGGUUA
rnacentral:rRNA from 1 species